rnacentral:rRNA from 1 species
GACGAACGCUGGCGGCGUGCCUAAUACAUGCAAGUAGGACGCAGUUGCGAACGGGUGAGUAACGCGUAGGUAACUACCUAUUAGAGGGGGAUAACUAUUGGAAACGAUAGCUAAUACCGCAUACUAGUAGAUGGAUCUUCGUUGUAUUAGCUAGUAGGUAGGGUAAUGGGCUACCUAGGCAACGAUACAUAGCCCACCUGGGAGGGUGGACGGGCAAACUGGGAAUGGGAAACCGCCCCGACUCCUACGGGAGGGAGCAGUAGGGAAACAUCGGCAAUGGGGGGAACCCUGGCCGAACAACGCCGCGGGGGUGGAGAAGGUUUUCGGAUCGUAAAGCUCUGUUGUGAAGGGAGCGGUACUUAACCAGAAAGGGACGGCUAACUACGUGCCAGCAGCCGCGGUAAUAC